UACGUAGGGGGCAAGCGUUGUCCGGAAUCAUUGGGCGUAAAGCGCGUGUAGGCGGCCACGCACGUCCGUUGUGAAAUCGCCCGGCUCAACUGGGCGGGGUCGGCGGAUACGGCGUGGCUGGAGCAAGCUAGGGGGCAAUGGAAUUCCCGGUGUAGUGGUGGAAUGCGUAGAUAUCGGGAGGAACACCAGUGGCGAAGGCGGUUGCCUGGAGCUUUGCUGACGCUGAGGCGCGAAAGCGUGGGGAGCGAUCCGG
rnacentral:rRNA from 1 species